rnacentral:rRNA from 1 species
AUACGUAGGUGGCGAGCGUUGUCCGGAAUUACUGGGCGUAAAGGAUGCGUAGGUGGUUGUUUAAGUCUGUCGUGAAAGCCCUGGGCUCAACCUGGGAAUGGCGAUGGAAACUGGGCGACUAGAGUGUGGCAGAGGGUAGUGGAAUUCCUGGUGUAGCAGUGAAAUGCGUAGAGAUCAGGAGGAACAUCCGUGGCGAAGGCGACUGCCUGGGCCAACACUGACACUGAGGCACGAAAGCGUGGGGAGCAAACAGGAUUAGAUACCCUGGUAGUCCACGCCCUAAACGAUGCGAACUGGAUGUUGGGUGCAAUUUGGCACGCAGUAUCGAAGCUAACGCGUUAAGUUCGCCGCCUGGGGAGUACGGUCGCAAGACUGAAACUCAAAGGAAUUGACGGGG